rnacentral:rRNA from 1 species
UACGGAGGGUGCAAGCGUUGUCCGGAUUUAUUGGGCGUAAAGAGCGUGUAGGCGGCUAUACAGGUCCGUUGUGAAAACUGGAGGCUUAACCUCCAGACGUCGAUGGAAACCGUAUGGCUAGAGUCCGGAAGAGGAGAGUGGAAUUCCUGGUGUAGCGGUGAAAUGCGCAGAUAUCAGGAAGAACACCCGUGGCUAAGGCGGCUCUCUAGUACGGUACUGACGCUGAGACGCGAAAGCGUGGGGAGCGAACAGGG